rnacentral:rRNA from 1 species
UACGUAGGGUGCAAGCGUUGUCCGGAAUUAUUGGGCGUAAAGAGCGUGUAGGCGGCCCCGUUAGUCCGCUGUGAAAGUCAAAGGCUCAACCUUUGAAUGCCGCUGGAAACUGUCUGGCUUGAGUCCGGAAGGGGCGAGUGGAAUUCCUGGUGUAGCGGUGAAAUGCGCAGAUAUCAGGAGGAACACCAAUGGCGAAGGCGGCUCACUGGCCUGAUACUGACGCUGGAGGCACGAAAGCGUGGGGAGCAAACAGG